UGCAGUCGAGCGGUAGCACAGGGAGCUUGCUCCUGGGUGACAAGCGGCGGACGGGUGAGUAAUGUCUGGGAAACUGCCUGAUGGAGGGGGAUAACUACUGGAAACGGUAGCUAAUACCGCAUAAUGUCUACGGACCAAAGUGGGGGACCUUCGGGCCUCAUGCCAUCACAUGUGCCCACAUGGGAUUAUCUAUUAGGUGGGGUAAUGGCUCACCUAUGCGACAAUCCCUAUCUGGUCUGAGAGGAUGACCACCCACACUGGAACUGAGACACGGUCCACACUCCUACGGGAGGCAGCAGUGGGGAAUAUUGCGCAAUGGGCGCAAGCCUGAUGCACCCAUGCCGCGUGUGUGAAAAAAGCCUUCGGGUUGUAAAGCACUUUCUCCGAGGAGGAAGGGUUCUGUGUUAAUAGCACUGUGCAUUGACGUUACUCGCAGAAAAAACACCGGCUAACUCCGUGCCACCAGCCGCGGUAAUACGGAGGGUGCAAGCGUUAAUCGGAAUUACUGGGCGUAAAGCGCACGCAGGCGGUUUGUUAAGUCACAUGUGAAAUCCCCGCGCUUAUCGUGGGAACUGCGUUUGAAACUGUGAAGCUAUAGUCUUGUAUAGGGGGGUAUAAUUCCAGGUGUAUCGGUGAAAUGCGUAUAGAUCUGGAGGAGUACCGGUGUCGAAAGCGGCCCCCUGUACAAAGACUGACACUCACGUGCGAAAGCGUGUGGAGCACACACGAUUAUAUACACUG
rnacentral:rRNA from 1 species